rnacentral:piRNA from 1 species
UGGCUAUACCUACACUGUUUUUCCAUUUGU